rnacentral:rRNA from 1 species
CCUACGGGUGGCAGCAGUGAGGAAUAUUGGUCAAUGGGCGCGAGCCUGAACCAUCCAAGUAGCGUGAAGGAUGACUUCCCUACGGGUUGUAAACUUCUUUUAUAAAGAAAUAAAGUGAGGCUCGUUUCCCUUUUUGGCUGUACUUUAUUAUUCAGAGUAGGCUAACUCCGUGCUAGCAGCCGCGGUAAUACGGAGGAUCCGAGCGUUAUCCGGAUUUAUUGGGUUUAAAGGGAGCGUAGAUGGGUUGUUAAGUCAGUUGUGAAAGUAUGCGGCUCAACCGUAAAAUUGCAAUUGAUACUGGCAGUCUUGAGUACAGGUGAGGUAGGCGGAAUUCGUGGUGAAGCGGUGAAAUGCUUAGAGAUCACGAAGAACUCCGAUUGCGAAGGCAGCUUACUAAACUGCAACUGACAUUGAUGCUCGAAAGUGUGGGUAUCAAACAGGAUUAGAUACCCCUGUAGUC